rnacentral:misc_RNA from 1 species
AGCAACAAACUUGACCAAGAGAAAUGGGCAUUGAGAUGAGAGUUUUUCUAAUGGUAGGCAUGGUUUUAUGCCUUGUCUCCAUUGCACAUGCCGCACAAGGGACUGCCGUUUGGUACAAACCUCCUUAUACGCGUAAGUAUACAUCUCAUAUCCGUUUUGAUAUUACAUAUAUUAUCAACAGAAAUUAUUAUUAUUAAGUUGAUGUUUGGUUUUUGUGGAAGCAUCAAAGUGCUUUGGGAAUCAAAAUAAUGGAGCAAUGGUUGCUGGUGUAAGUGAUAAACUGUGGAAUAAUGGAGCAGCAUGUGGAAAAAUGUAUAGAGUGAGAUGCAUAGAAGGGGCAAACCUUGCACCCCACCCUUGCAAACAAGGUACCAGCGUUGUAGUUAAAAUUGUCGAUUAUUGUCAAAGAGGCUGCACUGGAGAUAUUAAUCUCUCUAGAGAUGCCUUCGCUCAAAUUGCUGAUGUUAAUGCCGGCAUUGUUAAAGUUCAAUAUGACCAGGCUUGAAGCUUGGAAUAGAAUUUUUCGAAGGCAAACUACUUAAGUAGCAUAGAAUAAGAAACAGAUGAUGAUGAAGCUUGUCUAGUGUGAAAAUCAUAUAUAUGAGAAUAAUAAUUUUAAAGUAUUAAAUUAAUGGGACUCUUAUCAUGUAUCUUUUGGUUUUUCAAUCAAGUACUCAUGGAUAAGCAAUGACUAGCUCUUGCGACUACCAUUAUGUGUUGGUCUUGCUAUAUAAUAGUAAUUUUAUUCAUAAAACUGGAAUUUAUUUUAAUAAUUGUUUUAAUUUUCUUGCUAUACAGCUAUGUGUUGGGAUGGU